AACGAACGCUGGCGGCAGGCUUAACACAUGCAAGUCGAACGGGCGUAGCAAUACGUCAGUGGCAGACGGGUGAGUAACACGUGGGAAUAUCCCUUUCAGCUCGGAAUAACUCAGGGAAACUUGAGCUAAUACCGAAUACGUCCUUCGGGAGGAAGAUUUAUCACUGAGAGAUUAGCCCGCGUCUGAUUAGCUAGUUGGUGAGGUAAUGGCUCACCAAGGCGACGAUCAGUAGCUGGUCUGAGAGGAUGAUCAGCCACACUGGGACUGAGACACGGCCCAGACUCCUACGGGAGGCAGCAGUGGGGAAUAUUGGACAAUGGGGGCAACCCUGAUCCAGCCAUGCCGCGUGAGUGAUGAAGGCCUUAGGGUUGUAAAGCUCUUUUGCUAGGGAAGAUAAUGACUGUACCCAAAGAAGAAGCCACGGCUAAAUUCGUGCCAGCCGCCGCAGUAA
rnacentral:rRNA from 1 species